GCAUCAACCGCCGCUCGCCGACAUUCAGCCGUCCACGCUCAUGGCGUCCAAGGCCGUGGCCACGGGACGGAAGACGAGGACGGGGACGCCAUCUCCAGCCACGCUAAAGGUUAACUAACUGGAACAAGCCCAGCCGAAUCCAAACUCCGCAACCAUCAUACCUGACCCUUUAUUCUGGUAUGGCUCCGACAAUGCUGCUGCGCCAUCUGUUGCCCUCCGAUAUCUGACACCAACAUGGCAACUUGUCUUGUGAGUGGCAGCCUAAUGUAGGCGUGUAUUGUCAUAAACUACGACAGAUUCGGCUCAUACAUACUUCCACCUGCCUAAAACUGUGAUAGCACUCUUUGUUUUGCUGAUGAAGGACUACUGGAUAAUUCAUUUUGGACCAAGGGUGAUGCUGACUCUGGGAUAAUUGCCCAAGUUAGAGGAAGGGGCUUUAGACAUGAGAAGACCAAGACCAAGCAUGUUGGUGGUGAUGUCCACUGUAGCUGCUGCCGGCGUCUACUAUGGCCUGCGCCCCCUGCCUUCCACUGUGACAUCUCCUACAGUGGUGUCCUUCUUUGACUACAUGUGUUCAGGCGAUGCAACUUCAGAAGGCUGGUAGCAUUGCAGGCAAGCCUGGAGGGUGGAAGGAUUCCCUUUCCAAUUGAAUACCUUGGCUGUAAUGGUUGCGGACUGUUAUUUGUCACUCCACUUCUGGACUGUUGGGUGGUAGUUGGUAAACGUCCCCUGCGCCUACCAGCACCAACUCACUUCCUUGUGUUUUAUGCAGCAUCCCUGACCCGAUGGCCAUUCAGUCUGGUGUCACCCGUUUGCCUGCCAUUCGGUCUGGUGUCACCAGGCCGCCUAUGGCUGCUCCCACCCGUCGACCAUAGGACCACCAUCCGCCUAUGGCUGUCUGGUGUGUGUCACCCAGCUGUUACAGCUCUGCCAAUGCUGCUGGGCUGCCAGUCGGCUUGCACGCUUGCCGCCUUUGCUCUUGCCGCCUUUGCUCAUAUUGGUGUCUGGGAUCCAAUUCUUUUUUGACUUGUCCUAGUAACCUGCCCCACAAAAUACCUCUCAUUACUCACACCGUCGCCACUUUCACAUUGGCAGAUGGGAGAUCAUUCCGACUUCCGUGAUGCCUCCCAGGUUAACUAACUAACUGGAGCAAGCCCAGCCAAAUCCAAACUCCGCGACCAUGUACAUACCCUGCUCCUUCGGUCUGGUCUGCCUGCGACAAUGCUGCUGCGCCAUCCGUCGCCUCCGAUAUCUGACACCAAGAUGGUGACUAGUCUUGUGAGUGGCAGCCAAAUUUAGGCGCGUACUGUCAUAACUACGGCAUGCCUGAUUCUGCUAAUACAUACUUGCAACUGGCUAAAACUGUGAUAGCACUCUUUGUUUUGCUGAUGAAGGACUACUGGAUAAUUCAUUUUGGAACAAGGGUGAUGCAGACUCUGGGAUAAUUGGCCAAGUUAGAGGAAGGGGCUUUAGACACAUGAGGAGACCAAGACCAAGCAUGUUGGUGGUGCUGUCUACUGUAGCUGCUGCUGGCGUCUACUAUGGCCUGCGCCCCCUGCCUUCGACUGUGACAUCUCGUACAGCGGUGUGCUUCUUUGACUACAUGUGUUCAGGCGAUGCAAGUUCAGAAGGCUGGUAGCAUCGCAGGCAUGACUGGAUGGUGGAAGGAUUCCCUUUGCUUGUGAAACCAAGUGAAUACCUGGGCUGUAAUGGUUGCGGACUGUUAUUUGUCACUCCACUUCUGGACUGUUGGGUGGUAGUUGACAAAGUAUCGGUGUUCUUUUGAUGUUCCAGACUGUAGCAUAUGUUUGUCUAGACUUGUGAUGGAGUUGGGUUGUGCUGUUGCACUUUUAUUGUUUAUUGUUUGGAUUGUGAUCUGGUUGCCCCCAGAACAGGGGAUGUUAUGCAGAAAUUUUCUGAGAAUUUGAAUAA